AGACCUUCUCGGCCUUUUGGCUAAGAUCAAGUGUAGUAUCUGUUCUAAUCAGUGUGAAAACUGGUUUCCCGACUUUUAGUUGGGUCUUUUUCACAUUCAUUUUUGGACAUUCCGAGAAUGCUAGCUUGCUAGUUUUUCUUGGAACGGUCUCCGGGGGCUUACACCACUUCCCCCGCGAGGCCAACCAUUC
rfam:Phytophthora megakarya strain zdho120 scaffold_19908, whole genome shotgun sequence.